rnacentral:rRNA from 1 species
AUUGAACGCUGGCGGCAGGCUUAACACAUACAAGUCGAGCGGGGUGAUGGUGCUUGCACUAUCACUUAGCGGCGGACGGGUGAGUAAUGCUUAGGAAUCUGCCUAUUAGUGGGGGACAACAUCUCGAAAGGGAUGCUAAUACCGCAUACGUCCUACGGGAGAAAGCAGGGGAUCACUUGUGACCUUGCGCUAAUAGAUGAGCCUAAGUCGGAUUAGCUAGUUGGUGGGGUAAAGGCCUACCAAGGCGACGAUCUGUAGCGGGUCUGCGAGGAUGAUCCGCCACACUGGGACUGAGACACGGCCCAGACUCCUACGGGAGGCAGCAGUGGGGAAUAUUGGACAAUGUGGGGAACCCUGAUCCAGCCAUGCCGCGUGUGUGAAGAAGGCCUUAUGGUUGUAAAGCACUUUAAGCGAGGAGGAGGCUCUUUUGGUUAAUACCCAAGAUGAGUGGACGUUACUCGCAGAAUAAGCACCGGCUAACUCUGUGCCAGCCGCCGCGGUAA